CCCUCCGAGUUGCUCCGAGCAGCGUUGCACUGCUGCUGCGGGGGCUUUUAAACGGCUGGAGGACGGUGCAGGGCUAGGGUUCGAAGGGGACGUUUGCUGGUUCACCGGGAGGCGAGCGAGUUGGAUGCCACGAGGCGCUGAGGGGCAGCUGUGAGCCGAACCGGUGACGGGCGUAUAUUCGCUGUUAGCCGGAGGACUAAUCACCAUAGAGAGCGGCGGAUGAGCUGCGCAGAGCGGUUAGAUCGGCACUUCCGCAUUUCUGGGCGCAUGUGUUUUGCCGCGGGCGGGACUCGGCGGCAGGCAGCGGCAGUUCCGCGCGUUGGCCACGCGGUGGCAGCAGAGACCACGGCAAGAACUUUCCUGCCGGAUCGAUGCCGGGAUUCGGUGGGGAACUUUGAGAUCACAGCCUGAAGCAGUGAUGGAGCACCUGGUGAGGGGUGCAGCCCUGCCUGCACAGGUGGAAGCAAUGCAGCCGUGGGGCAGAUGGGGCUGAGCCUGGCUCCACCCCUCCCUCGCCUCAUUUUAAGGGCUGGCAGCCCCACAGGCAGGGUUUCUUCCUGGAGAUGCCUCCUGUGGAUUGCUGGGUGAGCUCUGGUUCGUGGGAAGAGGUCAGCGAUUCUUUCUUGAUGGCUGUUGGGGUUUUGGUCUCUGCCUUUCUGUGGGGAUUGUCAGCUGGUUUACAGUAGCUCUGUCAGCUCUGCCUCUGCUUCUGAUGCCUUCCACUUGUUCUCUGAGGGCAGUCAAGGGGUUCUCUGCCUUUCUCUGAACUGGUAACGGAGGGACUGAUGGAUGUUCCUUUCUUUUGCUCUCAUCUGUUUCGGGAAUGCUUCAGUCAGCCCCAAGGUGACGCUGGUUGGGUGACUGAGCGUUGCGACUCCAGAAAUGCCUGGAGCUGAUGCACUGUUCUGUAAAGGGAUUCUGUGUUCUGCAGAGUUCCUCUGCAACUCUUUCUAAGCUCAACACCUUCUUGUGACAUCUCUGUUCCCUCUUUCGUGAUUCUCAUUGUGGGAUCUCCAACCUGGGCCUCCAAACUCACUCCGUCUGCUCCCACGUUGCCGCAGCCCAUUUUAUGACACGUUCCCUCUGUGUCCUCGUGUCCUCCCUGUGUCCUCUGCCCGUGUCCCCUCUGCAUCUCCUGUGCCACGCAUUCAUUCCACCCGUGCUGAGUGUUGUUUGAGGGCACACAUUUCAAUUCCGUUCCACGUCCCGUUGGAUCUCCUUCUGUUUUGCGGCUCAAUGGGGUCGAAGGGUUUCUGGGGCUCCUCUGGUUAGUGGUUGCAGCGCUGUG